rnacentral:rRNA from 1 species
GAUGAACGCUGACAGAAUGCUUAACACAUGCCAGUCAUUGGCGAAGCUGCGCUUGCGCAGUCUAGCCAAGGCGGACGGGUGAGUAACGCGUAAGGAACUUGCCCUGCAGACAGGGAUAACAGACGGAAACGACUGAUAACACCUGGUAUUGUCAGGCUGGCGCAUACCGGCCUGAUGAAAGGAGACGCUGCAGGAGAGCCUUGCGUCCUAUUAGCUAGUUGGUGGGGUAACGGCCCACCAAGGCGAUGAUAGGUAGCCGGCCUGAGAGGGUGAACGGCCACAAGGGGACUGAGAUACGGCCCUUACUCCUACGGGAGGCAGCAGUGGAGAAUAUUGGACAAUGGGGGCAACCCUGAUCCAGCAAUUCUGUGUGCACGAAGAAGGUUUUCGGAUUGUAAAGUGCUUUCAGCAGGGAAGAAGAAAGUGACGGUACCUGCAGAAGAAGCGACGGCUAAAUACGUG